CGGCCCUCCGCACAGGCCCCGCCCCCACGCCGCUCACGUACGUCUCGCCCCCAAGAAGCUCCGCCCCCGAGCUCCGGAAAGCCCCGCAGGCAGUGCCGAGAUGCACGUGCAGGAGCCCAGGAACGGAGCGAAACUGUCGUAGAACCGGGGCCUGAGGCAGUGCUGCUGGGACCGGAGAGGGAAGGUACUCAUUAGCUCUCUCUGCUAAAGGCAAGGAGGCAGCGGUUCAAACGAGCCCUGGUCCAGCAGCAGUUGGUUUCCACCCUUGGCCUAUUCGAAAUCGUUUCUGCCUUCGGCGCCUCAGCUGCGCUGGACUGCAAUUCCCAGCAGGCCCCGCGGGGGAGCCCCUCAGUCGCGCUGGACUGCAACUCCCAGCAGGCCCCCGCGGCGGAGCGCCUCAAUCGCGCUGGUCUGCAAGUGCCAGGCAGCCCUCCUCAGCCUCUAGGCUCGCUGGGGCCGCAGCCCUGGGCGACAUGCCUCGCGGAUGUGAACCUCUUUAGCUGUAUAAAAACUUCUUUUAAUGAACAGAUCAAGUGUCAAAAAGGGAUUUACUUAUUUUUGUUUGCUUUUAGCGCUGAGGAUUGGACCCAGGACCUUUGCACCCAGGACCUUACCCAGUCCUUAUUUUAUUUUUUAUUUUUACACAGAGUCUUGCUAAAUUGCCAGGACUGGGCUCGAACUUCCAGUCUUCCUGCCUUCGCCUCUCAGGUUGCUGGGAUCAUAGGCGUGUGCCGCCACAGCGGUCUUCCUCUCAUAUGAAUCAGUACUAUUUCUCUUGUUGCUCAGAUUGCCUCAUGCACUCAUAAGUGAGGCUUUUGGAAAGUGAUUGGAUCGUGGGGGGAUGAUAUUCAUCAAUGGACUAAUCCACUGAGGAGUUUGUAGCUGAAUGUGACGUUGGGAAGCGAAGCUUGGUUGAGGAGCUGUUUUACCACUGCCAGUUCCCUCUGCCAAGCCAGCCUGCCCUGGAGCCAGCUGACUAUGGACUGAAACCUCUACAAACUAUGAGCUAAAAUAAACAUUUCCUCCUUUAAA